rnacentral:rRNA from 1 species
GAUUCCCUACGGGGCGCAGCAGUCGGGAAUAUUGCGCAAUGGAGGAAACUCUGACGCAGUGACGCCGCGUGCAGGAAGAAGGUUUUCGGAUUGUAAACUGCUUUAGACAGGGAAGAUAAUGACAGUACCUGUAGAAUAAGCUCCGGCUAACUACGUGCCAGCAGCCGCGGUAAUACGUAGGGAGCAAGCGUUAUCCGGAUUUACUGGGUGUAAAGGGGGCGCAGACGGCAAUGCAAGCCAGGAGUGAAAGCCCGGGGCCCAACCCCGGGACUGCUCUUGGAACUGCAUGGCUGGAGUACAGGAGG